rnacentral:ncRNA from 1 species
CACUGCUCGUCACACCCUGGGAAUUGGUUUUACCCGAAGCAUCAGAACAAUGAUCACCCAUGACUUCUGUGGCACACUAGUGCCACAAAGACCUUUGGUGGUCUUAUUGGCACAUACCAUAGUGGGGUCUUUGACUGGGGUGAAGUCGUAACAAGGUAGCCGUAGGGGAACCUGUGACUG